rnacentral:rRNA from 1 species
GAUGAACGCUAGCGGCAGGCUUAAUACAUGCAAGUCGAGGGGGCAGCAAUGUCACCGGCGAACGGGUGCGUAACACGUAUGCAACCUACCUAUAUCAGGGGGAUAGCCCGAGGAAACUCGGAUUAAUACCGCAUAAUAUUAGGAUCGGCAUCGAUUUUCAUUGAAAGAUUUAUUGGAUAUAGAUGGGCAUGCGUAGGAUUAGCUAGUUGGUAAGGUAACGGCUUACCAAGGCUACGAUCCUUAGGGGCUCGGAGAGGAGUAUCCCCCACACUGGCACUGAGAUACGGGCCAGACUCCUACGGGAGGCAGCAGUAGGGAAUAUUGGGCAAUGGGCGAAAGCCUGACCCAGCCAUGCCGCGUGCAGGACGACGGCCCUCUGGGUUGUAAACUGCUUUUGAAUGGGAAGAAAGGUAUGCUUGCGAGCGUAAUUGACGGUACCAUUAGAAUAAGCCACGGCUAACUACGUGCCAGCAGCCGCCGUAA